rfam:Schistosoma haematobium scaffold1265_11, whole genome shotgun sequence.
ACCCAGCUGAUGAGUCCCAAAUAGGACGAAAUGCGCGUCCUGGAU